ACCCGUACCGCAAACCGACACAGGUGGGCGAGGCGAGUAGCCUCAGGUGAACGAGUGAAACGUGGUCAAGGAACUCGGCAUAAUGAUCCCGUAACUUCGGAAGAAGGGAUGCCCUUUCCUGUACUCAGGCUUGCCCUGAGCGCUCGAGAGGGUCGCAGUGAAUCGGCCCAAGCGACUGUUUAGCAAAAACACAGGUGCGUGCCAAGCCGCGUAAG
rnacentral:rRNA from 1 species